GGUUCUUGUGUUAAAUUAAAAUAAGCUUCCAUUCUCUCUGCUUUCUUCUUCGCAUUUCCACAACGCUAACACCAAUUCUCUCUCGAUCGAAUUGGAAUUGGAUUUUCACUUUGCUCACGAUUAUGGGACCUGGAUUGUUCUCUGAUAUCGGCAAGAAGGCCAAAGAUCUGCUGACGAAGGAUUAUAUCGCCGAUCAGAAAUUGUCCAUCUCUACCUACAGUGACACAGGAGUGGCCCUUACAUCAACCGCAGUGAAGAAAGGAGGGCUUUCAACUGGAGAUGUAGGAGCGCUUUACAAAUAUAAGAACACUUUGAUUGAUGUCAAAGUUGAUACAGGAUCAAAUAUUUUAACAACUCUUACUUUGACUGACAUCGUCCCAUCCACAAAAACCAUUGCCUCUCUGAAAUUCCCUGACUACAGUUCU
rnacentral:misc_RNA from 1 species